AUGCUCAGCAGUGUCUGCUUUUGCUUUUUUUUGGAAUGUCUGUUGACGUUUUGCUCAAACGUUUCAAACCACCUCGAUAAAACGGUGCCCAUGUUACAUGCUGCUGCCACACUAGUGGGUUUUACCACACCUCUUUGGUAUAGCUAUAAUAAACAUUUCACUAGAAAUAUAUUAAGGAGUUUUUUUUUGUUUUUUUUUUAUAGAAAUGUCUUUUCCAAACUCAAGAUUGUGUGUAGAUUUGUAUUUUGUGCAUCUUCCAGGUUGAAUGUUCCCCAACCCCUGGCUCCAGCAGCCUUCCUCUGUGUCCUCGUCCUAACUGUGACAGCCAUGGACAGUCAUAUUCCUAGUACCAGUCUGCGGUGUAACUUCUGUCCUCUACAGCACAAAGGAAGGUCCUGCAGUAACGAUUCCACCACCGAGUGUCUCCCGCAAGAGCGCUGUGGUACUAGUAGUGGGCGUUUCGGUCCCAUUCACAUCCUGUCUGCACAGGGCUGCUUGACCCCUGACCUCUGUAACUCCACCCAUGCCGUGACCUACCGAGGGGUCAGCUAUAACGUGACAUACAGGUGUUGCUGUCGUGACCAGUGUAACCAGCCUCCAGCCUCUGAUACCUACAUUAAGAGGCUGUUAGGAGUGACUUUGGGGCACGGUGAGAAGCCUCCUACCGCGACGGACCCUCUGGAUAGAUGCCCUGGAGAUGAUGACGUUGCGGAGGAUGACACCGUCACUCGGCUACAUGGAGAAAACAACAUGAAUUCCAUCUAUAAAGUCCUCUCAGAUCUCCAGGAGUGGCUAAAGAGUAGAAGCUAGGGGUCCGCCUGGAAUUCAGCCCUACUUGUUGCUGGGGGCAGGCCUGUUAGCCACAGUCACUGUCCCCACCCUCAUGCAAGGGAUGACACUUUAUCAAAUACAUUUUAUUUCCGGUGUAAAUGUGCUUAUUUAUUCAAUUAUUUGUAAUAACUUAUGUAAUGUGUAAUCUAUAUUUUAGUGAUGUUGCUAUAUUGACACAUGGUAAAAGAUGCAGUUCUCAGUGUGGUAGCUGGUGAAUGGCGUGAAUAAAGAGAGCAUGUUGAACUUACUGUCUGGUGUCUCCAGAUUUCUAAGAAAUAUUCCAAUGAGUGAAAUAAUUUUCCUUCCAAAACAAUGGGAAUUAAAGGCCCAGUGCAGUAAAAAAAAAAAAAACAUGAAUUCUUUUUUAUCUAUAUUUCCACACUUAAGUUGGAAUAAUAUUGUGAUAAUGCCUUUUUUUUUUGUGUGUGUGUAAGAAGUGUUUAAAAAGGCUGCCUGUUUUGGUGGCCUGCAGUUUUGGCCGGCCUAGUGACAUCAGCAGGUGGUAAAUUAGUUGAUAGACCAAUAAGAGUUUCAAUCCCCUCUGCCAAUAAGAGCUAGUUUUCAGUUUCCCCUUCCCCUCUCAGACCACACCCAGGCCUAGCUAAAUUCUUGCUUGAGAAGUUGCUAUUUACUAAGAAGCUAUUUUUGUCACUUAAUUCAAAUGGUCAAAAAGAAAUUGCAGUAAGGUACUUAAUUGUUACCCAGAAAUCAUGAUAUUGAGAGGAAAAAGGGCUGCAUUGCAUCUUUAUGUUAAUCCAUUCUGUUGGAUUGGUGGGCGUAUACUGGUCGUAAUAAAUAUUCACGUCAGUUGACCGCUGAUUGGCUAGCUCAUCAACCCCAGAGUUGUUUAUGAAACGCUCUGAGGUGAGGGUUUUUAAGUGUUCAAAUUAUGCUUUGGCCACGUAUCGGUCGAACAUUAUUUGGCUGUGCGUUAACAGAACGAGAUUUUCACUGAACAAUUACUUUAAAAUCAUUUCCCCCCCCCCCCCCCCUCCAGUCUGUCCUGAUCUGAAUAACAGGUGACGGGUGUGGCUACUUCGUUUGAGUUUAGAAGGUACAGGUUCGACCAGCAGUAAGUGUUGGGAUAGUAUACAGAGCAUCUGUCAUCCAUUGUACACCACCUGUUGUAUCCAGUUUGAAAUUCUUCUCAACCCCAGAGUCGUAAGAAUGGGCAGGUAAGUCCUCAUCCUACAUAUUGACAUUGCAUGAGCAAGCUGUUAAUAUUUCUGUGGUUGAGAGCACACAUACAAGGCUUUCAACCUGUCUUUUUAGAUAAACUGAGACUAGAAGGUUCAUUACCAGGACAUACCUGUAACUUCAUGCAAGCACGACUGGUUUGUUUGACAAGUUGGUAUUUUGUUUUUAUUGCAAGUCAGCAACCUACCCAUCAAACUCUUGUUCCAAUUGAUUAAUUAGACCGGUGGGUUACCAAUCAGCAGUUUCUGUUACAUUCCAAUACCACUGCAAUUCUAGCCUGGUCCCAGAUCUGUUGUGCUGUCUGGCCAACUCCUAUAGUAGUUUUCAUGUCAUGAUGACAUUCAACGUUUGACUAGGUCUGCGUUCACACAGGCAGCCCAAUUCUGAUCUAUUUUUCACUAACUGCUCCUUUGACCAAUCAGAUCAGCUCUGAGAAAAGAUCUGCUGUGAUUGGAUGUAAAGAAGAAUUAGUAUGAGUGGAAAUAAGAUCAGAAUUGUGCUGCCUGUUUAAACACAGCCUAAGGAACUAGCUAUACAGUACAAACAGAUCCGGGAUCAGGCUACUCUCUAACGACGCCUGACAUGAAUGAAUAGUUCACAACCAGACAUCCCUUUUUCUCUCAGGCCCCAGAUGUUUCCGGCUCUAUCUGCCAUCCUGUGUUUGUCCCUGCUCCUCCCAGUCCUCCACUGUAACAACAACCUGCUGUGUUACUACAGCCCUAUCAUGUACCGGAACAAGACCUUUGACCUCAUCCUGACUGAGUGCCCUCCCACGGAACUCUGCAUGACGGGCAACGGUCGCUACGGAAACCACAGCGCCCUGUCCACCCGGGGGUGCGUGGCGCCGACGGGCUGCGGUCAGGUACACCCUCUCCGACUGAAAGGAACUGUCUACACCAUGACGUAUGCGUGCUGUGACUAUAACUACUGUAACACAGGACACCGUGUUGCGGUUAAUUCGGUCCCCCUCGUGGUGGCUAUGAUGACUAUGCUGUUAACGGGGCUGUAACUCACAAGCUUUACUUUAAAAUCAUGUACUUUUUUUUUUGUUUUGUUUUUUAGAUAGGUGCUGGUUUUUAAUUAUCGGACGUGAGGAGUACUAGGGAUUUGUUGGUUGAACGGUUUACUAUCUACUGCUGCAUCCUCAGUCCAACCAAACAGAGGUAUGCAUCAACCUGGAGACAAGUUAAACAUUUUUUUUUUUUUUACCAAAUACAAUGGAAGAUUAUGCCUUUGGUUCCUUUCUAUAGAGAGAAAUGUAUAUUUUUUUUAUGAUUGUGAAAUAAAUGUUUUAUACAUCAACUGGACUAUGUGUUAGCUCUUUGGUGACUUUUUGUUGAAUCAGAAAUGUAUCUUUUUGAAUGUUAUGAAGCUAUUAUAUAAAUCUAUAUAUGCAAGCACAACACACACACACACACACACUGACUAUCUCUUGAGGUUUGGACAGUUCUUUAUUUCCCUUUUAUAAGGCUGCUGGGUGUCCCCCAUAGUGGAUAUACUUAAAUGUACAGGAGAUUGCUAUAGUGGAGUUACAGAGAGAAGGGUGGGAGAGGGUCCAUAUUACACAGUAGACUUCAAAAAACAACACUGAUGGAGCCUCAUCUCCAGGGAGCAGAAAUCAGCAGAGAGAAAGAGCGGGAGGGAGGGAUGGGGGUAACAGCACAGAGGGAGGGAGGGGGGUAACAGCACAGAGGGAGGGAGGGAU
rnacentral:lncRNA from 8 species